GCGGGUAUCGUAUAUCGGUAUUACCACAGGUUUCCAACCUGUUGAGAGGGGUUCGACUCCCCUUACCCGCUCAA
rnacentral:tRNA from 1 species